GUUUUAAUAAUUUAAAUAAAAUAUAAGUUUUGUAAACUUAACAUAGAUUAAUUUCUUUAAAGCA
rnacentral:tRNA from 1 species